CCUCCCUGUGGCACCUGCUCUUGCUGGCCCCAGAUGUGUUUCAGGACAACAUGCAGCUGCGAGACAUAAUUGAUUUCCUUCAGAAUCCAAGCAGUGUUGUGCUGGGAGCUCAGAAUGUCUCUGCAUCUCUUGCGGGUGAUGAGAGAUUCAAAACUGUUCAGAAUGGGGUUACAGAUUCUCCACUUCCCCUGAACUGCUUGGAGCAAGAUAAAGAAAGGAGUUGGGUGACCAGAUCUAUUUGUAAUUCCUUUGUUCACUGGGAAGACAAUCACACUUUAGUAUCUGAAUUGGAAGAAGUUCUAAGAAAAAUAAAGUCACCAGAGAUUGGUGGAAAGCACUCCAAGAGGUCCAUUAAUUCAGAUGAUUUAGAAGCCAUACAAAAGCAUCUACAUCGUUUAAAAGGCUUUGAGGAAAAAAUGAAUAGAAGUGAAUUAAAAAGCUUAAAUCUAUUCAGAAAUUUGAAGAAUGAAACAUUACAGAAAUUGUAUGCAUUUCUUGAACUGGGAAUGAAUCCACACCAUGAUUAUAAAUUAAAGGAACCAUAUAAUAAGGAAAUAAUUGAUGAAAUCUAUAACUUCACAUCACUGCAAUUACAGAGUGACUUUAAUGGGACUUCCAUUUUCAAUACAGUGACCCAGUGGAAAGAAAUUCAGAGGGCUUUAAAAUUAGCUACAAUGCUUUGGAAUCCAGCUCUCCUAAAUAAUUCCAAUUUUAGUACAUUGAAAACUAAGGAUGCUCUCAAAAUAUUGCUCUCCACAAGCAUGCCAUCACUUCUGGAAGGUCUCAGGGACCAUUUGAGUGGAUUGCAAGAAAUCCCAUCUGUGUUUUCUGAUGAUCUGCUUGAGCCUGAGUCCUACAGAAACUUCCCAGAGCAGCUCCUAGCUCUCGAGGAGAUCUUCUUUAGAAUGAUGGGCACAAAUGUAGGUUAUCAGUACCUCCUGCUGCCUGUGUUUGAGCUGAUGAGGGCCGUAGAGAAGUCCAUGGGUGAGGCCUGGUGGGAUGAGUUGAAUGUCUACUGGCGCCUUGGGGAGAAGCUGAGAUCCAUGAGGUGGAAUAACACAGCCAUCGUCGCCUAUGGGCAGUUCUUGGAGGUGUUAAACAGCCAUUUGCAAAAGCUGCAUAAUAAAUCAAGUGGUGUCUUCAGUGAAGAGUUGGAUCAGCUGUCAGAGUUCAUAACAGCUGUGUUUAAAGAGUUUGGGGAAAGCUCUGGAGUAGCCAAUAUCUCACAAGUCACUCAAGCCAUCCAGAAGACGUUGUACAUCUUAAAAGACUUACAGCUGAAUUAUAAUGUCAGUACAUUAAAAUCUAUAGAUCUUUUCUUUAAUUUUAACAAUAAAACCUUGGAGAGCUUGUCUGAACUUCUGAGAACAGGAAUGAAAAUCCUUCAUUAUUCAAGUGCCAGGGAAGGUUUCAGUGAAGACAUAAUUAACCCCAUCUACAAUUUAACACAUCUUCUACUGCAGGAGUUCAGCCAGUCUCCCUCACAGCACAAUUCCUCACUACAGGCCAAAAUUUGGGAGUUCUUGCGAUCAGCCUUGAGUCCUUUCCUUGAGCACAGCAGCAAUGGUUAUAGAACAUUCCAGAACUGCUCCUUUGAAGAUCUGCUUGACAUAGGCCUCGAGGUGCUGUUUGAAAAUGCCACUCUAAGGGAGUCCUCAGGCAGGAGCCCCUGCAAGCCCCUCUUGGAGUCCUUGGGCAUGGAGGGUGGGACAGGGAGCAAUGAGACCUUUAGCAGGGUGUUCCAGCUGGCCAUCAGNNNNNNNNNNNNNNNNNNNNGGAGCUGUUGUGCCUCACCCGAGCUCUGCGUUUGUCCCUGGGUUUCCUCUCCAAGUUAAACCUUGUCUCAGAGCUGGGAAACUCAUGGCUCCAGGAGAAGGUGAGAGCUCUGAGUGCAGCCACAGAGGGGUUGGUGCAGGGUGAUGCCUCGUGCCCCGUGCCAGCCCAGGAUGUGGGUGAUGUGU
rnacentral:lncRNA from 1 species